UCCAUCUCAUAAGAAAUAGAUAAAAAAAAUAAAAUACCUAGCAAUACAGCUAAUUAGGGAGGUGAAUGAUCUCUACAAUGGUAACUACAAAUCACUGCU